rnacentral:tRNA from 3 species
GGAGAGGUGGCUGAGUGGUCGAAAGCGGCAGAUUGCUAAUCUGUUAGGGGUGUUAACAUCCCUCGAGGGUUCAAAUCCCUCCCUCUCCG